AGGAGCAAAAUUGUAGGCAAUUUGUUUCUUCUGCCUUAACACUCGGCCACUCGACUAGCCUCAUGUGAUAACUGUGUGGAUGCUCUAUCAAUGUUGAACCCUGGGAUUGGAAGAAUUACUCGGAAGGAGACAGUUCAGACAGAUUUUAUGCCACCAAAUCCUCCUAGUAGCCCUCAGCAAGGCAGAAGCCCUAAGGGUCAGACACCGGCUUAGCAGUGGAGCCAUGGACACACCUGCAAAAUAUACGGCCAUCAGUUUCGGAAGUUUUCUUCGAAAAGCCGAGAACUUCUGUUGCAUGCGAAAGCACUGUGAAAUUGAGUAGAAGCAAUGACUCGCUGGUUUCAGAUGGAACAAGUAAAAGCCAAAAAGAUGAGCAGAGUGCCCAGCCCACAUGUGACAGCAUGAAUGAUGAGUCUGCGCCCUCUAUGAUAGUGUCAGGAAUGCAGUUGAAACAUUGAAGAUAGUAACAGGAAAGAGAAUUACUAUGAAGAAGACUGUUGAGACAGAUUUUAUGCCAAAAAAAUCCUCCUAGUAGCCCUCAGCCAGGC